rnacentral:lncRNA from 1 species
AGUUUCUUGCCACAAAAGCCGAACGGUGACGCCCCAGACUCGGUUUCUUGGUUCCGUCCCAAAACGCCGAAGAAAGGCACAAUGGCCUAGAAAGGGACGGUCGGACUUGGAACGGGGUCCGAGGCCUCGAAAGUCCACAUCUAGCUACUGGGUGGUCCGAUUUUGAGUGAUCUCGAAGUUUCUUGCCCACAAAAGCCGAACGGUGACGCCCCAGACUCGGUUUCUUGGUUCCGUCCCAAAACGCCGAAGAAAGGCACAAUGGCCUAGAAAGGGACGGUCGGACUUGGAACGGGGUCCGAGGCCUCGAAAGUCCACAUCUAGCUACUGGGUGGUCCGAUUCUGAGUGAUCUCGAAGUUUCUUGCCCACAAAAGCCGAACGGUGACGCCCCAGACUCGGUUUCUUGGUUCCGUCCCAAAACGCCGAAGAAAGGCACAAUGGCCUAGAAAGGGACGGUCGGACUUGGAACGGGGUCCGAGGCCUCGAAAGUCCACAUCUAGCUACUGGGUGGUCCGAUUCUGAGUGAUCUCGAAGUUUCUUGCCCACAAAAGCCGAACGGUGACGCCCAGACUCGGUUUCUUGGUUCCGUCCCAAAACGCCGAAGAAAGGCACAAUGGCCUAGAAAGGGACGGUCGGACUUGGAACGGGGUCCGAGGCCUCGAAAGUCCACAUCUAGCUACUGGGUGGUCCGAUUCUGUGAUCUCGAAGUUUCUUGCCCACAAAAGCCGAACGGUGACGCCCCAGACUCGGUUUCUUGGUUCCGUCCCAAAACGCCGAAGAAAGGCACAAUGGCCUAGAAAGGGACGGUCGGACUUGGAACGGGGUCCGAGGCCUCGAAAGUCCACAUCUAGCUACUGGGUGGUCCGAUUCUGAGUGAUCUCGAAGUUUCUUGCCCACAAAAGCCGAACGGUGACGCCCCAGACUCGGUUUCUUGGUUCCGUCCCAAAACGCCGAAGAAAGGCACAAUGGCCUAGAAAGGGACGGUCGGACUUGGAACGGGGUCCGAGGCCUCGAAAGUCCACAUCUAGCUACUGGGUGGUCCGAUUCUGAGUGAUCUCGAAGUUUCUUGCCCACAAAAGCCGAACGGUGACGCCCCAGACUCGGUUUCUUGGUUCCGUCCCAAAACGCCGAAGAAAGGCACAAUGGCCUAGAAAGGGACGGUCGGACUUGGAACGGGGUCCGAGGCCUCGAAAGUCCACAUCUAGCUACUGGGUGGUCCGAUUCUGAGUGAUCUCGAAGUUUCUUGCCCACAAAAGCCGAACGGUGACGCCCCAGACUCGGUUUCUUGGUUCCGUCCCAAAACGCCGAAGAAAGGCACAAUGGCCUAGAAAGGGACGGUCGGACUUGGAACGGGGUCCGAGGCCUCGAAAGUCCACAUCUAGCUACUGGGUGGUCCGAUUCUGAGUGAUCUCGAAGUUUCUUGCCCACAAAAGCCGAACGGUGACCCCAGACUCGGUUUCUUGGUUCCGUCCCAAAACGCCGAAGAAAGGCACAAUGGCCUAGAAAGGGACGGUCGGACUUGGAACGGGGUCCGGCCUCGAAAGUCCACAUCUAGCUACUGGGUGGUCCGAUUCUGAGUGAUCUCGAAGUUUCUUGCCCACAAAAGCCGAACGGUGACGCCCCAGACUCGGUUUCUUGGUUCCGUCCCAAAACGCCGAAGAAAGGCACAAUGGCCUAGAAAGGGACGGUCGGACUUGGAACGGGGUCCGAGGCCUCGAAAGUCCACAUCUAGCUACUGGGUGGUCCGAUUCUGAGUGAUCUCGAAGUUUCUUGCCCACAAAAGCCGAACGGUGACGCCCCAGACUCGGUUUCUUGGUUCCGUCCCAAAACGCCGAAGAAAGGCACAAUGGCCUAGAAAGGGACGGUCGGACUUGGAACGGGGUCCGAGGCCUCGAAAGUCCACAUCUAGCUACUGGGUGGUCCGAUUCUGAGUGAUCUCGAAGUUUCUUGCCCACAAAAGCCGAACGGUGACGCCCCAGACUCGGUUUCUUGGUUCCGUCCCAAAACGCCGAAGAAAGGCACAAUGGCCUAGAAAGGGACGGUCGGACUUGGAACGGGGUCCGAGGCCUCGAAAGUCCACAUCUAGCUACUGGGUGGUCCGAUUCUGAGUGAUCUCGAAGUUUCUUGCCCACAAAAGCCGAACGGUGACGCCCCAGACUCGGUUUCUUGGUUCCGUCCCAAAACGCCGAAGAAAGGCACAAUGGCCUAGAAAGGGACGGUCGGACUUGGAACGGGGUCCGAGGCCUCGAAAGUCCACAUCUAGCUACUGGGUGGUCCGAUUCUGAGUGAUCUCGAAGUUUCUUGCCCACAAAAGCCGAACGGUGACGCCCCAGACUCGGUUUCUUGGUUCCGUCCCAAAACGCCGAAGAAAGGCACAAUGGCCUAGAAAGGGACGGUCGGACUUGGAACGGGGUCCGAGGCCUCGAAAGUCCACAUCUAGCUACUGGGUGGUCCGAUUCUGAGUGAUCUCGAAGUUUCUUGCCCACAAAAGCCGAACGGUGACGCCCAGACUCGGUUUCUUGGUUCCGUCCCAAAACGCCGAAGAAAGGCACAAUGGCCUAGAAAGGGACGGUCGGACUUGGAACGGGGUCCGAGGCCUCGAAAGUCCACAUCUAGCUACUGGGUGGUCCGAUUCUGAGUGAUCUCGAAGUUUCUUGCCCACAAAAGCCGAACGGUGACGCCCCAGACUCGGUUUCUUGGUUCCGUCCCAAAACGCCGAAGAAAGGCACAAUGGCCUAGAAAGGGACGGUCGGACUUGGAACGGGGUCCGAGGCCUCGAAAGUCCACAUCUAGCUACUGGGUGGUCCGAUUCUGAGUGAUCUCGAAGUUUCUUGCCCACAAAAGCCGAACGGUGACGCCCCAGACUCGGUUUCUUGGUUCCGUCCCAAAACGCCGAAGAAAGGCACAAUGGCCUAGAAAGGGACGGUCGGACUUGGAACGGGGUCCGAGGCCUCGAAAGUCCACAUCUAGCUACUGGGUGGUCCGAUUCUGAGUGAUCUCGAAGUUUCUUGCCCACAAAAGCCGAACGGUGACGCCCCAGACUCGGUUUCUUGGUUCCGUCCCAAAACGCCGAAGAAAGGCACAAUGGCCUAGAAAGGGACGGUCGGACUUGGAACGGGGUCCGAGGCCUCGAAAGUCCACAUCUAGCUACUGGUGGUCCGAUUCUGAGUGAUCUCGAAGUUUCUUGCCCACAAAAGCCGAACGGUGACGCCCCAGACUCGGUUUCUUGGUUCCGUCCCAAAACGCCGAAGAAAGGCACAAUGGCCUAGAAAGGGACGGUCGGACUUGGAACGGGGUCCGAGGCCUCGAAAGUCCACAUCUAGCUACUGGGUGGUCCGAUUCUGAGUGAUCUCGAAGUUUCUUGCCCACAAAAGCCGAACGGUGACGCCCCAGACUCGGUUUCUUGGUUCCGUCCCAAAACGCCGAAGAAAGGCACAAUGGCCUAGAAAGGGACGGUCGGACUUGGAACGGGGUCCGAGGCCUCGAAAGUCCACAUCUAGCUACUGGGUGGUCCGAUUCUGAGUGAUCUCGAAGUUUCUUGCCCACAAAAGCCGAACGGUGACCCCCAGACUCGGUUUCUUGGUUCCGUCCCAAAACGCCGAAGAAAGGCACAAUGGCCUAGAAAGGGACGGUCGGACUUGGAACGGGGUCCGGCCUCGAAAGUCCACAUCUAGCUACUGGGUGGUCCGAUUCUGUGAUCUCGAAGUUUCUUGCCCACAAAAGCCGAACGGUGACGCCCCAGACUCGGUUUCUUGGUUCCGUCCCAAAACGCCGAAGAAAGGCACAAUGGCCUAGAAAGGGACGGUCGGACUUGGAACGGGGUCCGAGGCCUCGAAAGUCCACAUCUAGCUACUGGGUGGUCCGAUUCUGAGUGAUCUCGAAGUUUCUUGCCCACAAAAGCCGAACGGUGACGCCCCAGACUCGGUUUCUUGGUUCCGUCCCAAAACGCCGAAGAAAGGCACAAUGGCCUAGAAAGGGACGGUCGGACUUGGAACGGGGUCCGAGGCCUCGAAAGUCCACAUCUAGCUACUGGGUGGUCCGAUUCUGUGAUCUCGAAGUUUCUUGCCCACAAAAGCCGAACGGUGACGCCCCAGACUCGGUUUCUUGGUUCCGUCCCAAAACGCCGAAGAAAGGCACAAUGGCCUAGAAAGGGACGGUCGGACUUGGAACGGGGUCCGAGGCCUCGAAAGUCCACAUCUAGCUACUGGGUGGUCCGAUUCUGAGUGAUCUCGAAGUUUCUUGCCCACAAAAGCCGAACGGUGACGCCCCAGACUCGGUUUCUUGGUUCCGUCCCAAAACGCCGAAGAAAGGCACAAUGGCCUAGAAAGGGACGGUCGGACUUGGAACGGGGUCCGAGGCCUCGAAAGUCCACAUCUAGCUACUGGGUGGUCCGAUUCUGAGUGAUCUCGAAGUUUCUUGCCCACAAAAGCCGAACGGUGACGCCCCAGACUCGGUUUCUUGGUUCCGUCCCAAAACGCCGAAGAAAGGCACAAUGGCCUAGAAAGGGACGGUCGGACUUGGAACGGGGUCCGAGGCCUCGAAAGUCCACAUCUAGCUACUGGGUGGUCCGAUUCUGUGAUCUCGAAGUUUCUUGCCCACAAAAGCCGAACGGUGACGCCCCAGACUCGGUUUCUUGGUUCCGUCCCAAAACGCCGAAGAAAGGCACAAUGGCCUAGAAAGGGACGGUCGGACUUGGAACGGGGUCCGAGGCCUCGAAAGUCCACAUCUAGCUACUGGGUGGUCCGAUUCUGAGUGAUCUCGAAGUUUCUUGCCCACAAAAGCCGAACGGUGACGCCCCAGACUCGGUUUCUUGGUUCCGUCCCAAAACGCCGAAGAAAGGCACAAUGGCCUAGAAAGGGACGGUCGGACUUGGAACGGGGUCCGAGGCCUCGAAAGUCCACAUCUAGCUACUGGGUGGUCCGAUUCUGAGUGAUCUCGAAGUUUCUUGCCCACAAAAGCCGAACGGUGACGCCCCAGACUCGGUUUCUUGGUUCCGUCCCAAAACGCCGAAGAAAGGCACAAUGGCCUAGAAAGGGACGGUCGGACUUGGAACGGGGUCCGAGGCCUCGAAAGUCCACAUCUAGCUACUGGGUGGUCCGAUUCUGAGUGAUCUCGAAGUUUCUUGCCCACAAAAGCCGAACGGUGACGCCCCAGACUCGGUUUCUUGGUUCCGUCCCAAAACGCCGAAGAAAGGCACAAUGGCCUAGAAAGGGACGGUCGGACUUGGAACGGGGUCCGAGGCCUCGAAAGUCCACAUCUAGCUACUGGGUGGUCCGAUUCUGUGAUCUCGAAGUUUCUUGCCCACAAAAGCCGAACGGUGACGCCCCAGACUCGGUUUCUUGGUUCCGUCCCAAAACGCCGAAGAAAGGCACAAUGGCCUAGAAAGGGACGGUCGGACUUGGAACGGGGUCCGAGGCCUCGAAAGUCCACAUCUAGCUACUGGGUGGUCCGAUUCUGAGUGAUCUCGAAGUUUCUUGCCCACAAAAGCCGAACGGUGACGCCCCAGACUCGGUUUCUUGGUUCCGUCCCAAAACGCCGAAGAAAGGCACAAUGGCCUAGAAAGGGACGGUCGGACUUGGAACGGGGUCCGAGGCCUCGAAAGUCCACAUCUAGCUACUGGGUGGUCCGAUUCUGAGUGAUCUCGAAGUUUCUUGCCCACAAAAGCCGAACGGUGACGCCCCAGACUCGGUUUCUUGGUUCCGUCCCAAAACGCCGAAGAAAGGCACAAUGGCCUAGAAAGGGACGGUCGGACUUGGAACGGGGUCCGAGGCCUCGAAAGUCCACAUCUAGCUACUGGGUGGUCCGAUUCUUGUGAUCUCGAAGUUUCUUGCCCACAAAAGCCGAACGGUGACGCCCCAGACUCGGUUUCUUGGUUCCGUCCCAAAACGCCGAAGAAAGGCACAAUGGCCUAGAAAGGGACGGUCGGACUUGGAACGGGGUCCGAGGCCUCGAAAGUCCACAUCUAGCUACUGGGUGGUCCGAUUCUGAGUGAUCUCGAAGUUUCUUGCCCACAAAAGCCGAACGGUGACGCCCCAGACUCGGUUUCUUGGUUCCGUCCCAAAACGCCGAAGAAAGGCACAAUGGCCUAGAAAGGGACGGUCGGACUUGGAACGGGGUCCGAGGCCUCGAAAGUCCACAUCUAGCUACUGGGUGGUCCGAUUCUGAGUGAUCUCGAAGUUUCUUGCCCACAAAAGCCGAACGGUGACGCCCCAGACUCGGUUUCUUGGUUCCGUCCCAAAACGCCGAAGAAAGGCACAAUGGCCUAGAAAGGGACGGUCGGACUUGGAACGGGGUCCGAGGCCUCGAAAGUCCACAUCUAGCUACUGGGUGGUCCGAUUCUGAGUGAUCUCGAAGUUUCUUGCCCACAAAAGCCGAACGGUGACGCCCAGACUCGGUUUCUUGGUUCCGUCCCAAAACGCCGAAGAAAGGCACAAUGGCCUAGAAAGGGACGGUCGGACUUGGAACGGGGUCCGAGGCCUCGAAAGUCCACAUCUAGCUACUGGGUGGUCCGAUUCUGAGUGAUCUCGAAGUUUCUUGCCCACAAAAGCCGAACGGUGACGCCCAGACUCGGUUUCUUGGUUUGUCCCAAAACGCCGAAGAAAGGCACAAUGGCCUAGAAAGGGACGGUCGGACUUGGAACGGGGUCCGAGGCCUCGAAAGUCCACAUCUAGCUACUGGGUGGUCCGAUUCUGAGUGAUCUCGAAGUUUCUUGCCCACAAAAAGCCAAACGGUGACGCCCUAGACUCGGUUUGUUGGUUCCGUCCCAAAACGUCGAAGAAAGCACAAUGGCCUAGAAAGGGACAGUCGGACUUUGGAACGGUGUCCGAGGCGUCGAAAGUCCACAUCUAGCUACUCGGUGGUCCGAUUCUGAGUGAUCUCGAAGUUUCUUGCCCACAAAAGGCGAACGGUGACGCCCCAGACUCGGUUUCUUGGUUCCAUCCGAAAACGCCGGAAGAAAGGCACAAUGGCCUAGAAAGGGACGGUCGGACUUGGAACGCGGUGCGAGGCCUCAAAAGUCCACAUCUAGCUACUGGGUGGUCCGAUUCUGAGUGAUCUCGAACUUUCUUGCCCACAAAAGGCGAACGGUGACGCCCAGACUCGGUUUCUUGGUUCCGUCCCAAAACGUCGAAGAAAGGCACAAUGGCCUAGAAAGGGACGGUCGGACUUGGAACGGUGUCCGAGGCCUCGAAAGUCCACAUCUAGCUACUGGGUGGUUCGAUUCUGAGUGAUCUCGAAGUUUCUUGCCCACAAAAGGCGAACGGUGACGCCCAGACUCGGUUUCUUGGUUCCGUCCGAAAACGCCGAAGAAAGGCACAAUGGCCUAGAAAGGGACGGUCGGACUUGGAACGCGGUCCGAGGCCUCGAAAGUCCACAUCUAGCUACUGGGUGGUCCGAUUCUGAGUGAUCUCGAACUUUCUUGCCCACAAAAGCCGAACGGUGUCGCCCCAGACUCGGUUUCUUGGUUCCGUCCCAAAACGCCGAAGAAAGGCACAAUGGCCUAGAAAGGGACGGUCGGACUUGGAACGGGGUCCGAGGCCUCGAAAGUCCACAUCUAGCUACUGGGUGGUCCGAUUCUGAGUGAUCUCGAAGUUUCUUGCCCACAAAAGCGAACGGUGACGCCCAGACUCGGUUUCUUGGUUCCGUCCCAAAACGCCGAAGAAAGGCCCAAUGGCCUAGAAAGGGACGGUCGGACUUGGAACGGGGUCCGAGGCCUCGAAAGUCCACAUCUAGCUACUGGGUUGUCCGAUUCUGAGUGAUCUCGAAGUUUCUUGCCCACAAAAGCCGAACGGUGACGCCCCAGACUCGGUUUCUUGGUUUUGUCCCAUAACGGCGAAGAAAGGCACAAUGGCCUAGAAAGGGACGGUCGGACUUGGAACGGGGUCCGAGGCCUCGAAAGUCCACAUCUAGCUACUGGGUGGUCCGAUUCUGAGUGAUCUCGAAGUUUCUUGCCCACAAAAGCCAAACGGUGACGCCCUAGACUCGGUUUGUUGGUUCCGUCCCAAAACGUCGAAGAAAGGCACAAUGGCCUAGAAAGGGACAGUCGGACUUGGAACGGUGUCCGAGGCCUCGAAAGUCCACAUCUAGCUACUCGGUGGUCCGAUUCUGAGUGAUCUCGAAGUUUCUUGCCCACAAAAGGCGAACGGUGACGCCUCAGACUCGGUUUCUUGGUUCCGUCCGAAAACGCCGAAGAAAGGCACAAUGGCCUAGAAAGGGACGGUCGGACUUGGAACGCGGUGCGAGGCCUCAAAAGUCCACAUCUAGCUACUGGGUGGUCCGAUUCUGAGUGAUCUCGAACUUUCUUGCCCACAAAAGCCGAACGGUGACGCCCCAGACUCAGUUUCUUGGUUCCGUCCCAAAACGCCGAAGAAAGGCACAAUGGCCUAGAAAGGGACGGUCGGACUUGGAACGGGGUCCGAGGCCUCGAAAGUCCACAUCUAGCUACUCGGUGGUCCGAUUCUGAGUGAUCUCGAAGGUUCUUGCCCACAAAAGGCGAACGGUGACGCCCAGACUCGGUUUCUUGGUUCCGUCCCAAAACGCCGAAGAAAGGCACAAUAGGGUAAUCCAAGCUUCAAGAUUUAUAUUUAGGCUAACUUAAACAAAUCUUAAGUCUAGAUAAAACAUCCAAGUAUAACCAUUAUACAGGAUUUUAACCUAUGAUGUCUAGGUGAAAAACCAUUUUUAUUACCUCACACUCUCACGAAUGCUCAUAAAACUAGGUUAACUAGGCUCAAGAACUGAUUACGAUCUUCAGUAGGAGGUGUUCCGUAAACCGUCAACUUAAGAACCUCCAACCUUAGUCAUCUUAUCUGACUUGUUGACAAGAUUGAACCAGGUGAGCCUUUUGUAACCAGUUUUACAAGAUAUCGACCUAUUUCUAUGAAAAAUGGAAGAUAUGUUUAACCUAAGUGAGCAUGCAUUUAAUCUUUGUUAUUGAUUUUAAAAAGUCUAAUUUAUUUUAUAACACUUAUAAAAACUUCUAUACUUAAUCAAUCAUUUUAUCAAUAUAUACUCUUAUAAAAACAAUCAAUUAAUAUGGAUUUUAAUUUAUUUAACUUUAAUUAAAUCAUAUUUAAUUAAAUUAAAUCAAACAAUAAUUAAUUAAUUUGAUUAAAUCAUAUUUAAUCAAGAAUAACUUAAUUAAUUAAUAAUUAAUUAAUCAUAUUAAUUAAUUUCCAUAUUAAUCAAUUAACAUGCAUACAAUACAAUAUAACCUUUAUAUCAUACAUUUUAAUGCAUGAACAUGUUAACCUAUGGUGGGAUUUUAAAUCUAUAUGACAUUCAAAAUGCACAUACAAAUUUAAAUAACUUAAUCAUACAUCACAUGCAUAAAUAAAAAAAACACCCUAAAAUUGACUGAUUUUUGGCUCCUAAAUUAAGCUAAGUGCUAAAUUAUUACAUAAUUAAUUUGGUGUAGUACAGAACCACUCCCAAAAACUUCGAACCGGCUAAAAAACCAACCGAAACCGCUUGAACCGGCCCAAAAACCAAAUUUAUUGGCUUGAACCGGCCCAGGCGCACACGGGUCGUGCGAAGGCAGGCGCGCGGGCGAAGGCGGGCGCGGGCGCAUGCGGGCGGCGGGCGGAUGCGGGCGCGCAGGCGCAUGCGGCGCGCGGCGCAGCGGCGCGCAGGCGCAUGCGGCGCGGCAGGCGGCGCGGGCGCAUGCGGCGCGCAGGCGGCAGGCGGGCGCGGGGCGCAGGAGGGCGCGCGGCAUGCGGGUCGCGAAGCGGGUCAAGGCCGGGUUUUCGGGUCUGUGACCUUCUUUUCUUCAUUUUUUUCAAUUCUCUCACCCGGUUGAACCAAUUACAGCCUAGCUUCAACUCUAAUGACUUUUUUAUUUUUUAAAAAUUACAAACACUUUGCAACAAUAAAAAUAAGCCAUUAACAAGGCUAAUUACAAUAAUUAGAACAAAAACACUUAAUCUAGAGCCAAAAUCAUAAUAUAUCCAUUUUAGUUCAAACCAAAAUUUUCUAAUAAAUUUGAACCCACAAUGCAAUUGGGUAAAAAUGAAGCUCUGAUCCACCAUGAUAGAACUAAGUCUGCACAGCGGAAAAAGAAUCGAAUUUCUACCCUAAUUGCCACAAAUUAACAUCUUAACCAUAAAACUAAUCAAUUAGGGUUUUAAGAAGUAUUACCUUUGAAGCUUUCAAAAGGUUUGAUGUCUUCUUACAAUUCUACGAGAACCACUAGUACUCAACUGCUAUCCUCUAGACAAAGAACCGGGUUGUGGGACCCAAUUUUGGUGUAGAAAGUAAUGGAGAUAAAAUGAGAUUGGAAGCUUUCUUUUUUCUUUUGUUGAGAUUAUGAAAAGAUAAAAGAGGCAAAAAGUCCUUCAACAUUUGAAAACAUCUCUAUUUAUAGCCUAAUUACAUGCAAAAAUGCAUACAAUUCAAUUGCCAAAUCUCAACACCUAAUAUUCCACUAACAAUUAGUGGAACUUAGUGGGCUAGGUGUCUAUAUCUCAUAUAGCCACAUAUCCCACUAAGAGUUAGUGGGAUUAUCCAACAAAAUGUUGGAUUUUCCCACUAACUUAGUCCAAGGGUAAAAUGGUCAUUUGAUUUUUCUAGUCAAAAGUCAAACUUUGACUUUUCUAAGUCAAAAGUCAAUAUUUUGACUUUUUACCAUUUUGUCCGUCUUGACUAAUUCCAACCUCCCGAGCAUGAAUCCGCAUUCAUUUUUCCAAAAUUCAAAUCACAUUUGAAUAUAAGGCCGGUCAAAGUUUGACUUUUCAAAGUCAAAAGUCAACAUUUUGACUUUUACUAUUUUUGACCAAUUCCGAGCUUCUUAGUAUGAAUCCGCAUUCAUACUUAUAGUAUGUAAAACAUAAAGCUCUAUUUCUAAUUAGAAGACCGACGAUUAUAUCACUGUAUAUGUCGGUUUUCCUUUCUUCUCCCUAUUCGAACAAUUCGACUUAUUUCAUCACACUGUUCUAAGUUUAAUCCAUAUGAGCUAGCAGAGGAACCUAAUGGACCUAUAGAUCAUGGGCUCCAACGAUUCAAGAUUAACUAGCUAAACUCUUUUAAACCGAGUUAAUCAACAUUCGUUAACUAACGGGUCAUUCCACUAAAGUCCCGUAGUUGCACUCCCCUCACUAUAGAUAUAUUUGUGUCCAUUUGAUAAAACCAUAAUCAGUAAGUUAAUCCUUCACAGGUUGCUCGUAACCUUGGCUGGGUCAAAAUACCGUUUUACCCCCAAGAUUACAUCUUGCUCCUUAAGUCCCACUAAUCCACUAUUGAACAAUUGGUUUAAGGUUCAACCUAUAAACUUAAUCCCUCUCGGGCCAAUGAGAGGGUGGGGCCCCUUGUUCAAGACUUGGAUUCAGUGCUUAAGAGAGCAACCUAUCUACUAACCCUAAAGCGGGUAGGAGUGAAUUCCAUCUUGUACCCUAUGUUCCCAGCUAUCCACCCGAUCUUACCCCUGAAAUGGGAGGCUUAUUGGGCCAACGCUGAUGAGCUGCCCUCACCUAUGCAGAUCUAAGGAUAAUCUCGUAUGAACAGGAGUUCAUAGUUAACUCAGGAUUAAGACUAAGUUACCUUGGUCAUCAAUAAUUGAGAUAGUCAGUUUUAAACAGUAAACGGUGUUAUAACGUAAAAAUGACUAAUUCAUGGUUCAGUCUUAUGUAAACAUUUUACAUAGGAUGCCCCCACUUUCAUGUCUCUACAUGAACGAUUAGGAUCACCUCGUUUGUACUACAAAGUGGGCCGCAUCCAUAGUUUCUCUAAAUAAGGCGCCCAACCUUUAUUUCAUAUACUAUAGACUAUUUAGGCUAUAUACUCGAACUUGAUCCACGUUUUAUGUUUACACAUAAAGUUCAAGUUUAUUAAAAAAAUAGCCUUGGAACUUGAUUUAUUGGAUUUAAGAUUAUAAUAUUUAAUUUCUCAAUAACAACUUUAUUGAAUAGAAUAUGAUUUACAAACUACGAGUUUUAGGACAAAAAAUUCCAACAAACUCCCACUUGGACUAAAAUUCCUAGUGGUAUGAGAGAUGUAGUGUGAGAGAAAUAUAUGAAACUAGGGCACAUGGCCAAUAAGUCCUCACUUGUCCUAGUUUACAAACAUCGUACACCUAAACUGUGUAGGUGACCCUCAAACACUUUAGCCAUGAGGGCUUUUGUAAAAUGAUCAGCUUCCAUUGUGGAAUCACUAUACAAGUUUGCUUUAUGCUUCUCUCCAAACUACUGCUCCUCCAUUUAGAGUAAAUACUGAUCCUGAUGUAGACUUUCUCACAUCUUUAUCAGUUUGGAAAUCUGAAUCAGUGUAUCCAGUAAGGAUCAGAUCCUUUGUACGAUACAAGCAUGUAGAAUGUUUUUAACGGCUGUCCAGUGAUCACGUCCAUGAUUGGAUUGAUACCUACUGACCAUUCCUACUGAGUAGCAAAUGUCAGGUCUAGUACAUAACAUUGCAUACAUUAAACUUCCAACAGCGGAAGCAUAGGGAAUAUUUCUCAUAUCCUCAACUUCUUGAGGUGUCUUAGGACAUUGUUCCUUUGACAAAUGAAUUCCAUAUCUGUACGGCAGCAGACCCUUUUGGAAUUCUGCAUUUUAUAUCUAGACAACAUUUUGUCUAUGUAAGAUGCUUGAGACAUGGCUAGUGUUUUGUUCUUACGGUUUCGAACAAUUUGGAUUCCGAGAACGUAUUGUGCAUCUCCCAGAUCUUUCAUUUGAAAUUGCAUAGCUAGCCAUUUCUUGAUAUCAGUAAGAUAUCCUACGUCAUUUCCAAUAAGUAGAAUAUCAUCUACAUAUAAGACUAAAAAAUGCUAUAAUGGAAUUGACGACCUUUUGUAAACACAAGGCUCGUCAACAUUUUGUUCAAAGCCAUAAGAUUUGAUCGCAGUAUCAAAUCUUAUAUUCCAGGAUCUAGAAGCUUGUUUUAAUCCAUAAAUGGAUUUUUUAAGCUUACAAACCUUUUGUUCUUGAUCUUGUUCUAUAAACCCCUCUGGUUGAGACAUAUAGAUACUCUCUUCAAGAUUACCAUUCAAAAAAGCUGUCUUGACAUCCAUCUGCCAAAUUUCAUAAUCAUAAAAGUGGCGAUGGAUAAGAGUAUUCUAAUUGACUUUAACAUGGCAACAGGAGAGAAUUUCCUCAUAGUCUACUCCCUCUCUCUGGGUAUAACCCUUUGCCACAAGUCGAGCCUUGAAAGUCUGUACUUUACCGGCAUGGUCUCGUUUUCUCUUGUAGAUCCAUUUACAACCAAUAGGUUUUACGUCAUUUGUUGAUCUACUAGAGUCCAGACAGAAUUAAAGUACAUAGACUCCAUUUCGAGGUCCAUGGCUUUGAUCCAUUGGUCACGAUCUACAUCUUUCAUUGCCUGUUUAUAGGUUAAUGGAUCCUCUAUGCCAUCGUCAGGUAUGACGACUUGAGUUUCAAUUAAACCCAAAUAGCGAACAGGCUGAUGAACAACCUCCCACUACGUCGAGGCUCUCUCAACUGUUGAGAAGGAUGUGAUUGUCCAGAUUUCCUAGUCUUAUCAACUACCUUAGUGGAUGAACUAGGUUUAUCUAUAGCACUUUUGGAAAUUUCUUUUAAUACUAGUUUACUACGAGGUUGAUGAUCCUGAUGUGGUCUUCCUCUAAGAAUGUGGCAUUUGUUGACACAAAUAUUUUAUUUUCUUGAGGAUCACAAACCACCUCUUGAUUCUUUUGGAUAACCUAUAAAAAAAUAAUUUUGAACGAUGUUCCAAUUUCUUUGGAUUUUGUACCAACACGUGUGCUGGACAACCCCAAAUUCUAAAAUGACGUAAACUGCCUUUACGCCCUUUCCAUAGUUCAUAAGGUGUUUCUGAAACACUUUUAGAGGAACAUUAUUCAAAAUAUAAGCAGCUGUUUCUAAAGCAUAUCCCCAAAAAGAAUCUGACAUCUGAGAAAAACUUAUCAUAGAGCGAACCAUGUCUAACAAGGUCCGGUUUCUUCUUUCUGAUACACCGUUCUGUUGAGGUGUACUAGGUGCAGAGAGUUGUGACUGGAUUCCAUUUCUAUUAAAUAGUCUCGGAAUCGUAAGUCCAUAUACUCUCCACCUCGAUCUGAUCGAAGUAUUUUUAUUGUUUUACCUAAUUCGUUUUUUACUUCAGCCUUAUAUUCUUUGAACUUUUCAAGACUAUUAGACUUAUGAUGUAUUAGGUAAAUAUGACCAUACCUUGAAUAAUCAUCAAUGAAGCUAAUGAAAUAUUCAUAUCCACCUCGAGCUUUGACAUUCAUUGGUCCACAAAGGUCCGAAUGUACGAGCUCUAAGGUCCUUUGGCUCUUAGACCUUUUCCAGUAAAAGAUCUCUUGGUCAUUUUUCCUUCAAGACAAGAUUCACAAGGAGGUAAAGAGUUAUCUUCUAACGGACUUAGAAGCCCACUUUUAACCAAUCUCCCAAUCCUAUUGAGAUUAUGUGACCAAGUCUUAAGUGCCAUAAAUAGGCAUUAGAAGAAACUUUUUGUCUUUUAUUCUGAGUUUCAGCUGUUCUGAAUAUUUCAGUAUUUAAGACAAAAUUUGCUCUAGUUGGUCUUAACUUAUAUAAGUUGUCUUCAAGUAUAGCAGAACAAACUAGAAUUUAUAGAAAACGAACGCUUCAUUAAUUUCCAAAGAUAUUCUAUACAUUUGUUCCAAAAUACAAGAGAUAGAUAUUAAAUUUCUUUUCAUUUGAGGUACAUAUAAGACAUUCUUAAGUAUGACAUAUCAUCCCAAAACGCCGAAGAAAGGCACAAUGGCCUAGAAAGGGACGUCGACUUGGAACGGGGUCGAGGCUCGAAAGUCCACAUCUAGCUACUGGUGGUCCGAUUCUGAGUGAUCUCGAAGUUUCUUGCCCACAAAAGCCGAACGGUGACGCCCCAGACUCGGUUUCUUGGUUCCGUCCCAAAACGCCGAAGAAAGGCACAAUGGCCUAGAAAGGGACGGUCGGACUUGGAACGGGGUCCGAGGCCUCGAAAGUCCACAUCUAGCUACUGGGUGGUCCGAUUCUGAGUGAUCUCGAAGUUUCUUGCCCACAAAAGCCGAACGGUGACGCCCCAGACUCGGUUUCUUGGUUCCGUCCCAAAACGCCGAAGAAAGGCACAAUGGCCUAGAAAGGGACUUGGAACGGGGUCCGAGGCCUCGAAAGUCCACAUCUAGCUACUGGGUGGUCCGAUUCUGAGUGAUCUCGAAGUUUCUUGCCCACAAAAGCCGAACGGUGACGCCCCAGACUCGGUUUCUUGGUUCCGUCCCAAAACGCCGAAGAAAGGCACAAUGGCCUAGAAAGGGACGGUCGGACUUGGAACGGGGUCCGAGGCCUCGAAAGUCCACAUCUAGCUACUGGGUGGUCCGAUUCUGAGUGAUCUCGAAGUUUCUUGCCCACAAAAGCCGAACGGUGACGCCCCAGACUCGGUUUCUUGGUUCCGUCCCAAAACGCCGAAGAAAGGCACAAUGGCCUAGAAAGGGACGGUCGGACUUGGAACGGGGUCCGAGGCCUCGAAAGUCCACAUCUAGCUACUGGGUGGUCCGAUUCUGAGUGAUCUCGAAGUUUCUUGCCCACAAAAGCCGAACGGUGACGCCCAGACUCGGUUUCUUGGUUCCGUCCCAAAACGCCGAAGAAAGGCACAAUGGCCUAGAAAGGGACGGUCGGACUUGGAACGGGGUCCGAGGCCUCGAAAGUCCACAUCUAGCUACUGGGUGGUCCGAUUCUGAGUGAUCUCGAAGUUUCUUGCCCACAAAAGCCGAACGGUGACGCCCCAGACUCGGUUUCUUGGUUCCGUCCCAAAACGCCGAAGAAAGGCACAAUGGCCUAGAAAGGGACGGUCGGACUUGGAACGGGGUCCGAGGCCUCGAAAGUCCACAUCUAGCUACUGGGUGGUCCGAUUCUGAGUGAUCUCGAAGUUUCUUGCCCACAAAAGCCGAACGGUGACGCCCCAGACUCGGUUUCUUGGUUCCGUCCCAAAACGCCGAAGAAAGGCACAAUGGCCUAGAAAGGGACGGUCGGACUUGGAACGGGGUCCGAGGCCUCGAAAGUCCACAUCUAGCUACUGGGUGGUCCGAUUCUGAGUGAUCUCGAAGUUUCUUGCCCACAAAAGCCGAACGGUGACGCCCCAGACUCGGUUUCUUGGUUCCGUCCCAAAACGCCGAAGAAAGGCACAAUGGCCUAGAAAGGGACGGUCGGACUUGGAACGGGGUCCGAGGCCUCGAAAGUCCACAUCUAGCUACUGGGUGGUCCGAUUCUGAGUGAUCUCGAAGUUUCUUGCCCACAAAAGCCGAACGGUGACGCCCCAGACUCGGUUUCUUGGUUCCGUCCCAAAACGCCGAAGAAAGGCACAAUGGCCUAGAAAGGGACGGUCGGACUUGGAACGGGGUCCGAGGCCUCGAAAGUCCACAUCUAGCUACUGGGUGGUCCGAUUCUGAGUGAUCUCGAAGUUUCUUGCCCACAAAAGCCGAACGGUGACGCCCCAGACUCGGUUUCUUGGUUCCGUCCCAAAACGCCGAAGAAAGGCACAAUGGCCUAGAAAGGGACGGUCGGACUUGGAACGGGGUCCGAGGCCUCGAAAGUCCACAUCUAGCUACUGGGUGGUCCGAUUCUGAGUGAUCUCGAAGUUUCUUGCCCACAAAAGCCGAACGGUGACGCCCCAGACUCGGUUUCUUGGUUCCGUCCCAAAACGCCGAAGAAAGGCACAAUGGCCUAGAAAGGGACGGUCGGACUUGGAACGGGGUCCGAGGCCUCGAAAGUCCACAUCUAGCUACUGGGUGGUCCGAUUCUGAGUGAUCUCGAAGUUUCUUGCCCACAAAAGCCGAACGGUGACGCCCCAGACUCGGUUUCUUGGUUCCGUCCCAAAACGCCGAAGAAAGGCACAAUGGCCUAGAAAGGGACGGUCGGACUUGGAACGGGGUCCGAGGCCUCGAAAGUCCACAUCUAGCUAGUGGGUGGUCCGAUUCUGAGUGAUCUCGAAGUUUCUUGCCCACAAAAGCCGAACGGUGACGCCCAAGACUCGGUUUCUUGGUUCCGUCCCAAAACGCCGAAGAAAGGCACAAUGGCCUAGAAAGGGACGGUCGGACUUGGAACGGGGUCCGAGGCCUCGAAAGUCCACAUCUAGCUACUGGGUGGUCCGAUUCUGAGUGAUCUCGAAGUUUCUUGCCCACAAAAGCCGAACGGUGACGCCCCAGACUCGGUUUCUUGGUUCCGUCCCAAAACGCCGAAGAAAGGCACAAUGGCCUAGAAAGGGACGGUCGGACUUGGAACGGGGUCCGAGGCCUCGAAAGUCCACAUCUAGCUACUGGGUGGUCCGAUUCUGAGUGAUCUCGAAGUUUCUUGCCCACAAAAGCCGAACGGUGACGCCCCAGACUCGGUUUCUUGGUUCCGUCCCAAAACGCCGAAGAAAGGCACAAUGGCCUAGAAAGGGACGGUCGGACUUGGAACGGGGUCCGAGGCCUCGAAAGUCCACAUCUAGCUACUGGGUGGUCCGAUUCUGAGUGAUCUCGAAGUUUCUUGCCCACAAAAGCCGAACGGUGACGCCCCAGACUCGGUUUCUUGGUUCCGUCCCAAAACGCCGAAGAAAGGCACAAUGGCCUAGAAAGGGACGGUCGGACUUGGAACGGGGUCCGAGGCCUCGAAAGUCCACAUCUAGCUACUGGGUGGUCCGAUUCUGAGUGAUCUCGAAGUUUCUUGCCCACAAAAGCCGAACGGUGACGCCCCAGACUCGGUUUCUUGGUUCCGUCCCAAAACGCCGAAGAAAGGCACAAUGGCCUAGAAAGGGACGGUCGGACUUGGAACGGGGUCCGAGGCCUCGAAAGUCCACAUCUAGCUACUGGGUGGUCCGAUUCUGAGUGAUCUCGAAGUUUCUUGCCCACAAAAGCCGAACGGUGACGCCCCAGACUCGGUUUCUUGGUUCCGUCCCAAAACGCCGAAGAAAAGCACAAUGGCCUAGAAAGGGACGGUCGGACUUGGAACGGGGUCCGAGGCCUCGAAAGUCCACAUCUAGCUACUGGGUGGUCCGAUUCUGAGUGAUCUCGAAGUUUCUUGCCCACAAAAGCCGAACGGUGACGCGCCCAGACUCGGUUUCUUGGUUCCGUCCCAAAACGCCGAAGAAAGGCACAAUGGCCUAGAAAGGGACGGUCGGACUUGGAACGGGGUCCGAGGCCUCGAAAGUCCACAUCUAGCUACUGGGUGGUCCGAUUCUGAGUGAUCUCGAAGUUUCUUGCCCACAAAAGCCGAACGGUGACGCCCCAGACUCGGUUUCUUGGUUCCGUCCCAAAACGCCGAAGAAAGGCACAAUGGCCUAGAAAGGGACGGUCGGACUUGGAACGGGGUCCGAGGCCUCGAAAGUCCACAUCUAGCUACUGGGUGGUCCGAUUCUGAGUGAUCUCGAAGUUUCUUGCCCACAAAAGCCGAACGGUGACGCCCCAGACUCGGUUUCUUGGUUCCGUCCCAAAACGCCGAAGAAAGGCACAAUGGCCUAGAAAGGGACGGUCGGACUUGGAACGGGGUCCGAGGCCUCGAAAGUCCACAUCUAGCUACUGGGUGGUCCGAUUCUGAGUGAUCUCGAAGUUUCUUGCCCACAAAAGCCGAACGGUGACGCCCCAGACUCGGUUUCUUGGUUCCGUCCCAAAACGCCGAAGAAAGGCACAAUGGCCUAGAAAGGGACGGUCGGACUUGGAACGGGGUCCGAGGCCUCGAAAGUCCACAUCUAGCUACUGGGUGGUCCGAUUCUGAGUGAUCUCGAAGUUUCUUGCCCACAAAAAGCCGAACGGUGACGCCCCAGACUCGGUUUCUUGGUUCCGUCCCAAAACGCCGAAGAAAGGCACAAUGGCCUAGAAAGGGACGGUCGGACUUGGAACGGGGUCCGAGGCCUCGAAAGUCCACAUCUAGCUACUGGGUGGUCCGAUUCUGAGUGAUCUCGAAGUUUCUUGCCCACAAAAGCCGAACGGUGACGCCCCAGACUCGGUUUCUUGGUUCCGUCCCAAAACGCCGAAGAAAGGCACAAUGGCCUAGAAAGGGACGGUCGGACUUGGAACGGGGUCCGAGGCCUCGAAAGUCCACAUCUAGCUACUGGGUGGUCCGAUUCUGAGUGAUCUCGAAGUUUCUUGCCCACAAAAGCCGAACGGUGACGCCCCAGACUCGGUUUCUUGGUUCCGUCCCAAAACGCCGAAGAAAGGCACAAUGGCCUAGAAAGGGACGGUCGGACUUGGAACGGGGUCCGAGGCCUCGAAAGUCCACAUCUAGCUACUGGGUGGUCCGAUUCUGAGUGAUCUCGAAGUUUCUUGCCCACAAAAGCCGAACGGUGACGCCCCCGACUCGGUUUCUUGGUUCCGUCCCAAAACGCCGAAGAAAGGCACAAUGGCCUAGAAAAGGACGGUCGGACUUGGAACGGGGUCCGAGGCCUCGAAAGUCCACAUCUAGCUACUGGGUGGUCCGAUUCUGAGUGAUCUCGAAGUUUCUUGCCCACAAAAGCCGAACGGUGACG